AUUGAACGCUGGCGGCAGGCUUAACACAUGCAAGUCGAGCGGGGGAAGGUAGCUUGCUACCGGACCUAGCGGCGGACGGGUGAGUAAUGCUUAGGAAUCUGCCUAUUAGUGGGGGACAACAUCUCGAAAGGGAUGCUAAUACCGCAUACGUCCUACGGGAGAAAGCAGGGGAUCUUCGGACCUUGCGCUAAUAGAUGAGCCUAAGUCGGAUUAGCUAGUUGGUGGGGUAAAGGCCUACCAAGGCGACGAUCUGUAGCGGGUCUGAGAGGAUGAUCCGCCACACUGGGACUGGGACACGGCCCAGACUCCUACGGGAGGCAGCAGUGGGGAAUAUUGGACAAUGGGGGGAACCCUGAUCCAGCCAUGCCGCGUGUGUGAAGAAGGCCUUAUGGUUGUAAAGAACUUUAAGCGAGGAUGAGGCUACUUUAGUUAAUACCUAGAGAUAGUGGACGUUACUCGCAGAAUAAGCACCGGCUAACUCUGUG
rnacentral:rRNA from 1 species